UAUAAGCAUAACCAUUUCAAGAAUGCACAAGGUACUUUAAACCGUAUGUGUUGAAACUAAAUUAACAAGAAAACAGCUCUUUGAUGUUCACCUAAGAAAAUUAGAUUAGAAGAUGUAAACUGUUAUGCACUUGUUCUGUACUGUUUCAUUCCUUUUUCAAACACUGGCAUUUUUGAAGGUUUAUUUACAGCUAAGGAUUAAGGAUUGACAGGAAGAUUUGUGGACUACAUCAACUAAUGACACUACCUCCAAAGAGUUGCAAAAAGCUGUCCAAAGUUUCAGCACCAUCUUUAAGCCCAUGAUUUUAGUGUGUUUCAUGCCUAAGCACAUGAGUUUAUAUCUGAGAUAGAUGAACUAUAUGAUUGUCUUAAACUGAUCUACAGGUAAAUGCCAAAACUUACUGGUUUACUUAUUUGUUUGUUUGUUUGUUUGUUUUUUUGUAUAUGUUAACCAGGUGAAAUGGAGUGAGGCAUACCAGGAUAUGCCUGGUUUUACUCUUGGGAAGGAGGUUGAACAGUGCAAUAUUUCUUCUAUAGGAUUGCAGUGACCAGACAUGCUACUGUAACUCUCAUGGUCAUGUGCUGGAAUUAGCACAUAUUCAACAAUUUGGCCAUCUCGCUGACCUAUUGAUAUCAGAAGACUGUAACAGCUCUGCAAAGCAAGUUGCAAAACAGAAUCCAUGAAACUGGCAGUGACUGGAAACCAAUUGGAAGACUUUGGUCUGUGAUGUAGAGGAGUGGGCAGACGUAGCAGAAGCAAAGACAACAAAAAACAGAAGUGAUAUGGAUGUCUUCGUCAUAUGGCAUGACUCUGUCGAUCCAGCAACAAAGAGGAGGGUGUUCAACAUCAUCCUGCUGGUCAAGAUUCUUUAGGAGAAGCAGAGGAUUCUUGUGGCAGAGAUGGCCAACCACUAUAAAUACCUUUCAACUCAUCCUGGUUCCUUCAAAGAACUUUCCUGCUUGUUUGCUACUGAAAAAUACUAUUCGAUUUGAUUGGCCUAAACAAAGAGCGGUUAAAAGGUCUAUGGAUCAUCAUUCUCAGAAAGCAACAAAAUAACUGAGAAAUAAACAACAAUACGAUGGUGCAAUCUAGAGACCUGCAAGGUACCUGCAAGUUUUGGCUGGAGCAGAGAACAUAGAUUUUUUUAAAUAAAGCUCCAGCUGCUAAGUAUGACAUUGACUGUGGAUUUUCUUUUACUGUAAUCCAGAAGAGGAUGACCUUAACCCUGAAUCUAAAGCAUGUAACAAAAUCUGUAAAAA